rnacentral:lncRNA from 1 species
CUUCUAAUCCUUUCUUAGGAUUAUCAUCUUCUCCUUUUCCAAGGUCUAGAUUUGAUCUCUUUGGACCUUCUUCUUCAUCCUCACAACCCUUGAAACCGUUUCCUCAUAAACUUAUCCCACCAUCAUCAACGAGUCAUCCUUACCUAAAUCCUCCUUCUACAAAUUAUCACCAGAGUCUUCUCCUUAACAUGAACACGCAAAACAUCGCAAACCCUCUAAGGGAUCAAUCGCUGAGCUUGAGAACAAGUAAUGGUGUUGGACACGUGGACGUGGGAACAAACUUUGAAGGGCUUCAAAACAUUAUGGCCUCUCCGUCAUCGAUGACGCAGCCAACCCUAACUACUAUGCAUGGAUUAGACAUGGUACCGGUUGAAAGAUCCGAUGUUUACACAACACCGGUUGCUUCUGGAACGGAUAAUAAUUUAGGGGUCGUGAGAAAUGAAGGUACGGUGGACUUAUCAUGGAUCUCUACUUCAGAUUAAUUAGAUUUAAUCUAACCUUGUUUAUUACAUUAUAAUCGUAUCUAUUAUUAUAUUCAUAUAAAAAAGGAAAAGAAAAUCUAAUGGAAAGAUUUUGGAAUCUUUUAUGUUCUGAUGAUAAUGACUUUCUAUAUAUUCGAAUUUCGACCAAUGUUUUUCCUUCUAGUGUUAUAUCAGUUCGAGGUUUGUGGACGUUGAAAUUUCAUUGGCCUCGUGGUAUAGUUUGAAAUUUCACUUAGUUAAGGGACAAUUACAAAAAAAAUUAAGAAGCAUGUGACUAAGAGCAACGUAUGUAUCACAAUGGACCCAACUAACAUGCUAGAAAAAUGUAGCUCUCAUGUUAUUAGGGUUGUGUAUAUGAGUGAACCCUAAAUUGUACUAUUAUUUUUCAUCUUGAAUUAUUAGUUUGUUUGCCUACAUAUAAUAAGCAGAGAUAGAGUGAUUGGUGGCGAGAUCUAGGGAAUCGCUAGCCGCCGCUUAUCCAAAAUUCAUCAUCUUAUUUUAAUUUGCAACUCACAUGAAUUAACACUUGAUCUUUUUCUUCUUAUCUUUCAAUUUUUGUAUUAUAAGCCAAAUUAAAAAUAUAUAUUAGUUAGUCGUCAGCAUAAUUCGACAUUUAAACAUUCGUUAUCCAGUACAUCACAACGCCAUGUCCCAUAAUUUAUUUAAUCAUAAUUGUCGUCAUUAUAAUCCAUCCAACUAAACUGGAUGGUUACAUCUAUCGGGGGUUUCACGUUACUAAGCACAGUUGCUUCAGUCGCUCAGAACCAAAUUAUUCGAUUAUGAUUUCAAUUUCUUCUUCUUAACUCUUUCCUUUUUUGAAUAAAGAAAUGGCCAGAGUUUAAUCGUGAAUAAUUUUGCGUUGACUUAAUAUAAUUAAUCUUGAUUUCUUAAACUUAACAACCAUUCUCUGUAUCACGAAUUAUCAUAGUGAGAUCAGAGAUCAGUGCCCAUUCCCCUCCCCCAAAAAAUACUAGUCAUUUUGUUUUUGAUAAACCAGUUGGUCGGUCUCGGGAGGAACAGAGUGGAGUGGCUACCAUACUGCCUGACCCAAAUUUGGAAUAUUUUCUGAUUAAUGUCAGGGGUAAACCGAUCAUCUGUUACGAUCAGUGGCGAAUGUAGAAUUAUUUUUUUUGUGGGGGCAAAUCUUACAUAAACUUAAAAAGUAUAGGUAAAAAUGUUAUUUAUUAAAAGAAAAAUAAUCAAAGUUUAAACAUAUUUAACAAACUUUGAAAAUUUUGUGGGGGCACUUGCCACCUUCUUCAGCAAUGUAGGUUCACCAAUGGUUACGAUUCACUAUGUAAACCAUUUAGACGUCUAGAGUGGCCAAGUGAUGAUAACUUAGUUUCUAGAAGGAAUCGAAUCCAUGACUGAUGUGUAUACACACCAAACUUCGGAAGAUUACCAUUUAGGCUACCACACUUAGUUACUAGUCAUUUUUCAGUGAAAAGAAAAAAUGUCAGCUAGAAUUGCACUUUCUCCACUAAGACGCGUGAGACGAUAUCGGUUUGGGGGACAGCAGGCAUAAUCAAUCUCUCAUAUUUUCUUUCAAGAAUCCCUUUGAUUGAUGCUAUAAGAAGAUAUUCUAUUCUUUAUUGUACUUUGAGAUCAAUGGUUUUGUUUUAGCUUCAAUAAUUCAAAAUAUCUCUGCUUUUUUCUACUUAUGUUAUUUACACAAAAUCUUUCUAGAAACAUUAGUAAAAGUAAGCAACUCAUAAAAAUUCCUUUUUAAUGUAACUAGCCGUUUAUAAAUUAUAUACUGUAUUUACAAAUUAAUUGAGUGAUAAAACAUGGAUUUUUGUGAAAACAAAACUAUAUUUAUAUCUCCUUCUGGAGACUGGAAAUCAAAAUAAUUACCCAAAGUCUUAUAGACUAUUUAGGGGCAAACAGUUAUAUUGCAAUAAGAGAGACAAUGAAAAAAAAGAAAAAAAAAGCAGGUUUGUUGUUGUUGUUGUUUUUUUCUUAAUUAGGUUUGUUGUUUUACAAUGAUGUUUCCACGUUGAUUACUUGAUUAUCACAUAUAUGUAUAUAAUAUAUAUUACAUCUAACUGUUAACAUGAAUCUAUCUAUAUUCAAUGUGUAAUUACGUCAUACAAAUUAAAAACUAGUUUAUGACUAAAAAUCUAGAGCUCGAAUUAUUUUCUCAGUUGAAAAUUAUCAGUAGCAUACACAGUCACAGGUAAUUAUCUUCCCAUAAAAUAUAUAGGUCAUUAUUUUAUAUUAACAGAAAUUAUCCCUGCUAAUUAAGAAAUUCUAUAAAAUAGACCUAUAGCUAAAAAUAUCGAUUCCCAUCAGAUGCACGGUUCCAGAGAUAAGUGUAAAUUAUGAGAUUAGUAUACUAUAUACAAGACCAUAAUUAACAUGCUUAGGGAAAAAAAUAUAGAUACAAGAUCCACUUUGAUAAAAAAAAAAAGAUACAAGAUCCACUAGUCGAGAAAGAAAAAGAAAGUUGGGAGUGUAUAAUGCGUUCUUUCAUAGGCACGACAGGACAGGCCUUUUCAGCAGUAGGUACGCCCCCACUAUUUUCUCUUUACCGAUUUCGUAAUUUUGAAAAGGUAAAAACCUUUUUAUGCAUAUAUAUAUACACAAACUGAUAUGGUAUUUAUUAUUAAUGGGCAUAAUCGACUUUACAUAGGAUUUGGAUCCUGUAAUAACGUUUUAAAUCAAUAAAUUAGGUUAUAGUUUACGAAUUUGGGGAAUCAAAUGGGCAUUAUAAGUGUCCAAUGUGACAUUGGACAAUCAUCACGUCCAUAAAGUAGGGGAAAUGUCAACUCCGACGCUAUAGCAUAUGAAUACAAGCGAGAGAAAGUAUAUAGUAGUAGGUACUAAAAGUAAAAUAACGGUCAUUGGUUAACGAAAAAUAGUAGUAAUAAAUUUGUUAAUGCUUGACCUCUUGUAUUGUUUUUGAACGCUAUUCAACUUACUCUCAGUCAUGAAGCGCGUAAGUUUUAUUUAUGGGAAAUUUGGGUUCAUGUCUAUAACAGAUCAUCAAAUUAACAUAUAACCAUAAGAGAACUGAAGUUAUGAUAUUUGCAUAAUAAUUGUCAUAGUAGGUGGUAACCGGGGUGAUGGAUUAAAAGAGAUUAUAACUUUAAAACUAUAUAGACUAAUUUAUUGUGGUAUUUUAAUUAUAUUUUAUGGAAAUACAUUUAAAAGAGUAAGUAAAAACUUAUAUAAAUUUAUUAUGAAUUUAAGAUGAAACAAAAACAAAAGCAAGAGCAUUAUUGUUUUCAUAAUAUAAAUUAUGAAUAUAAAAUAAAAUGAAACAUAUGCAACAGAAUAAUAAAAUAUGAAAGAAACAAAUUUAUAAAGAAACAAAUAAAAAAUUGAUAAAACCACAACUACUGUUAGAAGUGUCUUCAGAACUCGUGGUUUGCAAUUCUAUAGAAAGCCAUAACAAAGUAUCAACUUACCAAACUAAACACAUAUAUUUACCAAAUUCAGUAAACGAAAUGUUAUACCUCUUUCUGAAAACAUCGAUUUCUGGAACAUCGUUAGGUUCAAAAAUAAUUUUUGAAACCCAUCAUUGUUAAUCACAUUCUUUAAUCGACCUUAUCAUGAUAAAAAAACCCACCAUCAUCAACGAGUCAUCCUUACCUAAAUCCUCCUUCUACAAAUUAUCACCAGAGUCUUCUCCUUAACAUGAACACGCAAAACAUCGCAAACCCUCUAAGGGAUCAAUCGCUGAGCUUGAGAACAAGUAAUGGUGUUGGACACGUGGACGUGGGAACAAACUUUGAAGGGCUUCAAAACAUUAUGGCCUCUCCGUCAUCGAUGACGCAGCCAACCCUAACUACUAUGCAUGGAUUAGACAUGGUACCGGUUGAAAGAUCCGAUGUUUACACAACACCGGUUGCUUCUGGAACGGAUAAUAAUUUAGGGGUCGUGAGAAAUGAAGGUACGGUGGACUUAUCAUGGAUCUCUACUUCAGAUUAAUUAGAUUUAAUCUAACCUUGUUUAUUACAUUAUAAUCGUAUCUAUUAUUAUAUUCAUAUAAAAAAGGAAAAGAAAAUCUAAUGGAAAGAUUUUGGAAUCUUUUAUGUUCUGAUGAUAAUGACUUUCUAUAUAUUCGAAUUUCGACCAAUGUUUUUCCUUCUAGUGUUAUAUCAGUUCGAGGUUUGUGGACGUUGAAAUUUCAUUGGCCUCGUGGUAUAGUUUGAAAUUUCACUUAGUUAAGGGACAAUUACAAAAAAAAUUAAGAAGCAUGUGACUAAGAGCAACGUAUGUAUCACAAUGGACCCAACUAACAUGCUAGAAAAAUGUAGCUCUCAUGUUAUUAGGGUUGUGUAUAUGAGUGAACCCUAAAUUGUACUAUUAUUUUUCAUCUUGAAUUAUUAGUUUGUUUGCCUACAUAUAAUAAGCAGAGAUAGAG